CUCAUAGACCAUGAGAUCAUGACCCGAGCUGAAGUCGGACGCUUAACCGACUGAGCCACCCAGGCGCCCCGGUUUAUUUUUCAAUAAUAAUUCCCUACGACCUUUGGUGCAACAGUGGGCAUUAGCCCCCCAGGAAGAGCGAACCCUGUUCCCUGGCUCAAGACAGGGAGGGAGGCACAUGUGAUCUGUCUUGUGCUUGGCCUAGUUCAGGGACUCCAUGAAUUUCCUUGAAACAGUGACUAAGAGUCAACGCUGGGAACAAAGAAGGGCUUAAUCAUUUACUGGGCUCAGACCUUGUGGCUCACCUCCAGAGGUGAGAGGCAGAGAGAGUCAGAGGCAUCGCCCGGACGGCAAGCAGGAGUCCCCGCUUGUGCAGCACGAGCAUGGAGUCUGGGAAGGGUGAGAAGGCUGUGUUUGUCACGUGCUGGCCGCUCUAACGUAGGAUGCCCCAAACGGAGCCAGCACCUUACUUCCCAGAUCUCUUGCCAGCUCUUUCCCCAAGCCCCAGGCUUCAUGGAGGACGUGACCACACACCUGGGUAUGAGUCACCAUCGAUGCCUUUCUGUCUCUCACCUCCCAGUUCAAGCCAUGACUGAUUCCUGUUCAUCGUGUCUCCUGGUGGUUCUGGGAUCUGUCCCAGCCUCCCCAUCUGUAAGGGACAGACUCUACUACCUAGUUGGGAAGUUUGUCUUGCAAGAACCAUUGUACUUUGUAGACUAACUCGGGUAUUUCUGGAUUAAAGGCUUAAAUAAUG